AGAUACCACGAUGAUUUGGCAAGAAGAUGUGGUCCCAAAAAGUGUGCCUGCAUUUGCUGCUGUGGAAACAUGGCGUGGCUUCCCUUACUUUGCAAUGUAGAGAGCUUUUGGCUGCACAUGAAGACAGAAGUUUUGGCUUCUCUGAACUUAAGAAUAUUAAGGUCCUGCAAGUAGAACAUGCCAAAGACUUCCUCACUGCUGAAAUCCAUUGCCUGAAGAUAGGAAUUGCUCAGCAGGUCCCCCCCCGUGCUGCGGAUGGGCACGAGCAGCACAGAGCCCUGUGCUCGUUCAUUUUCCUUGUGCUGCAAGGAGGCCCGAAGUGCUCUGCAAAGAGGAAUCCCGCUGCACUCGCUCUGCUCAGACAAAUUCAUGCUCCAGUUUGCCACUGUGAGAGAAAUUCUGCUACAGUGCGUUCUUAUUACGGCUUCAAUCAAGCAUCAUAGUGAACUCAUCUUCUAUGCACACAAAGAUGGGCAGGGUCAUUGAUCUGAGAGAGCAUCUAAACUAAAACUUGUUGAAGAUGCAAUGAGAGAAAUUGUUAGAAGGUUGAGGAGGGUAGGUAGGGUAAUCAUAAAAAAACUGAGUUCAUUAAUUCUUUGAGUACUACAGCCAAAUUUUGAGUUCUCAGGUUUUGUGAUUUUAAAUCUGCUAAAACCAGUGGUACCUCUAAGGUAGGUAAUAGCUCUGGGAGAAGUGUCAGUAAUCCUAAAUUACCUCUCUGCAAUUUGUCCAUUAUGAAUUAUUCUUAAGAUCCAGCUGCAUAAUCAAAGCAAGGGAAUGGGCCAUGACUGGAAUUUGCUUUUUGAGCGCUUUUUCCCAGAUUGUUGCAUUCCAAAAAAUACGCAGCUACAAGGAAAGAAAAGUCUGCAGGUACUGCUGUCUUUCCAUAAACGAGAGGAGCCUAACAACAGUAAGAAAUGAUGGGGUAGGACAGACUGAAGCAGAACUCAGUUCACUUCAGCUGAUCAGUUUGCAGUCGGACUGCUUCAUGUACGUGAAGUUUAUCUUGCUGCAGUGAAUUAGGCUCCUCCGCCUAAUUAAAUGUUACAAGGAUUCGGUCAAAUAUAAGAAUUUUUGGAAAUGUUUCUACUGGAUUGGAAACUAUGUAAUAUUAGAAUGGCAUUUUCAGAACUCUGUCUCAGCAAUUUCAUUGCGGGUUGUACCUUUGAGUCAGGGCAUUUCAGAAGCCCCUCAGGGA
rnacentral:lncRNA from 1 species